ensembl:snRNA U2 U2 spliceosomal RNA
AUCGCUUCUUGGCCUUUGGCUAGGAUAAAAUGUAAUAUCUGUUCUUAUCAGAUUAAAGCAUACUUCACUGAUGCUAAAACUUGCAUAUUCAUUUUCUUUGAAGACGUCAU